rnacentral:rRNA from 1 species
AUUGAACGCUGGCGGCAGGCCUAACACAUGCAAGUCGAACGGUAACAGGAAGCAGCUUGCUGCUUUGCUGACGAGUGGCGGACGGGUGAGUAAUGUCUGGGAAACUGCCCGAUGGAGGGGGAUAACUACUGGAAACGGUAGCUAAUACCGCAUAACGUCGCAAGACCAAAGAGGGGGACCUUAGGGCCUCUUGCCAUCGGAUGUGCCCAGAUGGGAUUAGCUAGUAGGUGGGGUAACGGCUCACCUAGGCGACGAUCCCUAGCUGGUCUGAGAGGAUGACCAGCCACACUGGAACUGAGACACGGUCCAGACUCCUACGGGAGGCAGCAGUGGGGAAUAUUGCACAAUGGGCGCAAGCCUGAUGCAGCCAUGCCGCGUGUAUGAAGAAGGCCUUCGGGUUGUAAAGUACUUUCAGCGCGGAGGAAGGGAGUAAAGUUAAUACCUUUGCUCAUUGACGUUACCCGCAGAAGAAGCACCGGCUAACUCCGUG